rnacentral:rRNA from 1 species
UGCUAACACAUGCAAGUCGAACGUGAAGGGGUACUUGUAUCCCUGAAAGUGGCGGACGGGUGAGUAAGACGUAGGUGACCUGCCUCGGAGUGGGGGAUAACCAUUGGAAACGGUGGCUAAUACCGCAUACGUUCGUUAAGAUGGGAAUCUUGACGGGGAAAGCUUUAGUGCUUUGAGAGGGGCCUACGGCCGAUUAGCUAGUUGGUGAGGUAAAGGCUCACCAAGGCAAUGAUCGGUAGCUGGUCUGAGAGGACGAUCAGCCACACGGGAACUGAGACACGGUCCCGACUCCUACGGGGGGCAGCAGUGAGGAAUAUUCGGCAAUGGGGGCAACCCUGACCGAGCAACGCCGCGUGGAGGAUGACGGUUUUUGGAUUGUAAACUCCUUUUCUCAGGGAAGAGUGAGGACGGUACCUGAGGAAUAAGUCACGGCUAACUACGUGCCAGCAGCCGCGGUAAUACGUAGGUGGCAAGCGUUAUCCGGAAUUACUGGGCGUAAAGCGCACGCAGGUGGUUUGCUAAGAUUGACGUGAAAGCGCCUGGCUUAACUGGGCGAGGUCGUUGAUGACUGGCAGACUUGAGGCGAGGAGAGGGGUGUAGAAUUCCCGGUGUAGUGGUGGAAUGCGUAGAUAUCGGGGGGAAUACCAGUGGCGAAAGCGGCAUCCUGGCCUUGGCCUGACGCUCAGGUGCGAAAGCGUGGG